rnacentral:lncRNA from 1 species
AGGAGAUACUUAUAUAUGCCAUCGGGUCCCUCUAAUUUGUUCUACUAAUACGAUUAGCGCUUCUACCCUGUCCUUAAUUUCACCAAUUCGUCGGUGUGCGUAUAAUUGAUUGCUGUGAACGGCUCACACUUGAAUCCCACUGUAAGAGCAAGGGCAGAAGCACAAAGGUCCCAAAGGGGUUAAAAAAGAGAGUCUGAGAGAGUAUCUUUUGGAAAUGAAAGUAGUGCAGUGGCUUCUACCGGUGGCUGUGGCCUGGUGGUUGCGACAAGGCGGUGCUCCCACCGUGGCCGGAGAGUGUGCAACCAAGUGUGGGGACGUGGACGUACCUUAUCCGUUCGGGCUCGAACUCAAGUGUGCAAGGUCCCAAGAAUUUUUCCUCAAUUGCACCACUGAAGGGAACCAUACACAACUACUUCUUGCCUCCGGGGGGAAUUGUCCGAUACGCAAUAUC